GGUGUUGCAGGAAACUCCAAUCCAUAUUUGGGAAGUGCUCCACUUUCUUGCGGCAAAUAUCUAGGCUAGUGUUGAAGGCAUCUUUAUUGAAGGCGAGCUUCUCAUUCGAAUAUUCAUCAGAUGCACGGAAGGCUUCUAUGGCUGCGCAUCCUGCUUCAGCAACUUGUUCCUGGGCCUUCCUCUCAACAUCGAUGGCCCUGGCUUGCGCUUUCAAUCUCUCCUUUUUCUCCGAAGC
rnacentral:lncRNA from 1 species